UGUACGUCGGUUACAGCGCUGUGCGGUUAUAACGCUCGGUUCAGUUCGGUCCCUUUGAGAGCGCUAUAACGGGAUCUACUGUAGUAUAACGGUCGCCGACUCGCCGUCCAGUUGAUGUGAAUUAGCCAUGGUCACCAAGCAAGUUAUUUUCACUACAGCAUUUCUUAGAAGGUAGGCAGUACACAGGUUUGCUAUACGUGAGUGCACUGGCUGCUGGAUGUGGCAUGUUUUAACUUUAAACUUCAGCAGUCUUCGAGGGAAGAAGUUUCUAAUUAUUUUGAAGACCAACCCAUACAUCUCUUCAAGGUUGUUGCUGGGCCUGCAUGACAACUCGUCGAGUAGCAGAGGCCAAGGCGAGGGGAGGACAUAGCUUCAUUCUGGAAGUUUGCCCCACUAACAAGCCCGGAGGGACAAGAUUCAGGAAUCCUGCCAACCCUGCCAACGCUGUUCAGCCCGCCGACCCUGUCGACACUGCAAACCCUGCAGAUGAUGAAUAACGACACUGCAUCUUUUGCGUGAAAAUAAGUGCAUCGUUCGUGCUCUUCAAAAUUUGUUUUCUUGUAGGCCUAUUAGGGCUUCCCUAUUUAUCUCCGUGGUUCUCAUAAUUAUUUUUAUUUGCCCUUAUAUGAAGCCUAGUCGGUCUGUCAAAAAGCAAUAACAAUCUGAACUAAAGUUGCACUCGUAAAGAUGGUAAACUAAAUGAUGCAAUAAGUUUAUCAUGAUUUGAUAUCACUGAAUACAAUUUAAAAAAACAAACCAUUUUGGCCAAUUAUAGACGACUUACAGUAAUGUCUGGACGAAGCAUCUCCUUAACAAUUUAGUUGUAGUGGCAGCAAUAUUAUAAUGAGAGGCAAAAUUCUCUCAUCUGUCUUUCUUCCUCUGAUUUCCGUAAGCCGUAAUUUUCAAGUCGAGAAAAAAAAAUAUGAUAUUCAA